CACCCCCUUACUGAGUGGCACCCGUGCGGACCUUUAGUACGCCACUGUGAACUACAUCUCCCAUAAUGCUUUUACAGCCAAAAGUAGUUGACAGAUUUGCAAUAAAUUGAUAUGUUUCAGAAUCCUCAUUCAUUCCCAGUUGUACACUAGGUUAUCGAUUCUGUUGCCCGUGCUGCAGUCAUUCUAACCAGACGAUUAAUCAAUGUUUUACUAAAGACCUUGAAUGCCUGAAUAUGUGGUAUAGAAUGAACAAUCGGCCCCAAAUAUAAACCCAUUCA